GCCUCGGUGGUCAAAGUUGGUUAAGACGCCCGCCUAACGAGAGGGAGGUCCAGGUUCAAACCCUGGCUGAGGUG